rnacentral:rRNA from 1 species
AUUGAACGCUGGCGGCAGGCCUAACACAUGCAAGUCGAACGAGAGGCGGACGGGUGAGUAAUGUCUGGGAAACUGCCUGAUGGAGGGGGAUAACUACUGGAAACGGUAGCUAAUACCGCAUACCAUCGGAUGUGCCCAGAUGGGAUUAGCUAGUGGGGGGGGUAAAGGCUUACCAAGGCGACGAUCCCUAGCUGGUCUGAGAGGAUGACCAGCCACACUGGAACUGAGACACGGUCCAGACUCCUACGGGAGGCAGCAGUGGGGAAUAUUGCACAAUGGGCGCAAGCCUGAUGCAGCCAUGCCGCGUGUAUGAAGAAGGCCUUCGGGUUGUAAAGUACUUUCAGCGGGGAGGCGUUACCCGCAGAAGAAGCACCGGCUAACUCCGUGCCAGCAGCCGCGGUAAUUC